CGCAACCCUUGUCCUUAGUUACCAGCACGUUAUGGUGGGCACUCUAAGGAAGACUGCCGGUGACAAACCGGAGGAAGGUGGGGAUGACGUCAAGUCAUCAUGGCCCUUACGGCCUGGGCUACACACGUGCUACAAUGGUCGGUACAAAGGGUUGCCAAGCCGCGAGGUGGAGCUAAUCCCAUAAAACCGAUCGUAGUCCGGAUCGCAGUCUGCAACUCGACUGCGUGAAGUCGGAAUCGCUAGUAAUCGUGAAUCAGAAUGUCACGGUGAAUACGUUCCCGGGCCUU
rnacentral:rRNA from 1 species